UUGAACGCUGGCGGCAGGCCUAACACCUGCAAGUCGAGCGGAUGAGUGGAGCUUGCUCCAUGAUUCAGCGGCGGACGGGUGAGUAAUGCCUAGGAAUCUGCCUGGUAGUGGGGGACAACGUUUCGAAAGGAACGCUAAUACCGCAUACGUCCUACGGGAGAAAGUGGGGGAUCUUCGGACCUCACGCUAUCAGAUGAGCCUAGGUCGGAUUAGCUAGUUGGUGAGGUAAAGGCUCACCAAGGCGACGAUCCGUAACUGGUCUGAGAGGAUGAUCAGUCACACUGGAACUGAGACACGGUCCAGACUCCUACGGGAGGCAGCAGUGGGGAAUAUUGGACAAUGGGCGAAAGCCUGAUCCAGCCAUGCCGCGUGUGUGAAGAAGGUCUUCGGAUUGUAAAGCACUUUAAGUUGGGAGGAAGGGCAGUAAGUUAAUACCUUGCUGUUUUGACGUUACCAACAGAAUAAGCACCGGCUAACUUCGUG
rnacentral:rRNA from 1 species